AAAAAGGCAAACCCUGGGUUCCUGUGUCAAUGUUUGACUGUCCGUCUUAUAUGAAAUUUUUUUAUAAUUAGUAUUUUCAUUGUUGUUAGAUGAUAAAACAUGAUUAAUACUUUAUGCGUGACUUAUCUUUUUAAUUUUUUUUCAUAAUUUUUUUAAAUAAGACGAACGGUCAAACGUUGGACACGGGAAUCAGGGUUUGUCUUUUU
rfam:Oryza glumipatula chromosome 2, whole genome shotgun sequence.